GUCAAAAGGGCCCCUCUCGCUCUCGCUCUCUCUCGUCAUCACGGAAAGGAGCAAACAAGCUUCUUUGCUUUGUUUGUUUCUCCUCUUUUUAAAUCUGAAUCUCUCUUUUGUAUCCAUAGAAGUUACUAGGAGGAGGAGCAGCUGCUAAUUAAGCAGGCAUGGGAAAGAAGCUUGAUGCUAUUCUUGGAAGAACCUUCAAGGCCUCCAAAUUCAAAGCGCUUGUCAAUCUUGCUACUUCUCGCCUCGCAGUUUUCAAGAACCAACGCCAAGUCAGGUGCAAUCAAGCCCGCUCUGAUGCGCUUCAGCUUCUUCAACAAGGCCACCAUGAACGUGCUCUUCUUCGUGUUGAGCAAGUGAUCAAGGAGCAGCAUAUGUUGGAUGUGUAUGUUAUGAUGGAAGGAUAUUGCAAUCUCUUGGUUGAAAGGGUCCAUCUCAUUGAUCAGGAGAGAGUGUGUCCUGAUGAACUGAAGGAGGCAGUUUCAGGUUUGCUUUAUGCGUCUAGCAGAUGCGGAGAUUUCCCUGAGCUUCAAGAAAUCCGCACCGUUUUUACUUCCUGGUAUGGGAAGGAAUUUGCUGCUCGUUCUAUUGAAUUGAGAAAUAAUUGUGGAGUCAAUCCCAAGAUUAUACAAAAGCUAUCAACCAGGCAACCAGACUUGGAUAGCAGAAUGAAGCUCCUCAAGGAGAUUGCCUCAGAGAAAGACAUCGUUGUGCAACUUGAGGAAGCCUCUGGUACAAAUGAGGAAAAACUGGAUGUAAGCAAGAAGCAGAACCAGACUGAGCACAAGACGUCAACUAAUUCAGGCAGCCCUAAGCUGGUUGGCAAUUUCCAAAUUUCACCUGAAGAGAUGGAAAAGGAUGCCUUCAGUGAUUCAGUUAAGACAAGGAAAAACUAUAGGGACGUAUCUGAUGCUGCUCAAGCAGCUUUUGAGUUAGCUGCAGAUGCAGCUGCUGCUGCAAGAGCAGCUGUGGAGCUCUCUCGUUCUGAACCCCAUGAUCCUGACAAUCAGAACAGUCCAAGUAAUCGAGGGAAAAAAGUAUCAGAUAAAGAUGAGUCCAUGAAACUUGAAUCUGAUCACAGAAGUCAUGUGUUCCACCAUGAAAAUGAGGCUACAAAAUUGAAGGGUAACAAUUCAGCAGAACAGAAGGGGUCAGUAACCACUUCCACUUCAAAUUCAGGUCCAAUAGAAGAAGACUUGAGGGUAUAUUCAAUGUCGCUGGAUGCAGAACACCUAGUCAAGCAGUUGGAGAAGGAUAUAGUUUUUGAUGACAGUGAUAAUGAAACUCAUGAUUUGGGAUCCAAUAUAAGGUCUGGCGAGAUCGAAGGAGAGGUCCAGGAAGCUGAGAAGAAAAUCCCUUCAAUCAUUCAAGCUGGUCUAAACAAAGAGAAGGGAAAAUUUUCUGUCAGGACCAGAGGAGUGCGUGGAUACUGAAAAACAUGAGCAUAUUAAGUUUGUGAGUUUUGCUGAUGGAGUGGCUUUUUCUCUUCUCCCAGUUUUUUGAAUGUAAACUUGUUCAUUUUUUUUUUAAAUACCGAAAUUUUUGUUGGGUUAAAAAGAAUAAUGCAACUGAUGAGGUGCUAAAUUUGUACAUCAACCGUUUGAAGAGAAUUCCUAACAAAACACACAAACACCCCCUAUGCUGAUAUGAAUCUAGGACUCCCUAGAACCAUAUUUAUACCAUUUUUGUGACCAACAGUUCUACAUAAAUAAAAGAAAAUGGGAGGGGAAUGUGCU
rnacentral:misc_RNA from 1 species